AGAUGGCAGUGUUUCAUGUAGCCUUUCAUUUGCAGCAUAACAUUCUUGAAAAGGCAGAAGUUGUUAUUGGUCCAUAUCUGGAGGGAGGGAAUCACUGGACUUUCUUUCACUGCAACAUCGUGGAUAGAACAAUAACCUACCUAAAUUCCUUUGGUGAGCAGAAAGAGAAUUGUCAGAAAAUAGCUGAGAAUUGGAGGAUGUUUGCCACAGCAAAGGGAAUCCCAGGAACAUGGGACAUUUGCACAAGGGAGCAUGCCAUUCAGAGAGAUAUCAUUUCUUGUGGCAUCUUUACAGCUGUG